GGGCCAAAGCCCGUAAUCUCC
rnacentral:snRNA from 1 species